CCUACGGGAGGCAGCAGUAAGGAAUAUUGGUCAAUGGACGAAAGUCUGAACCAGCCAUGCCGCGUGAAGGAUUAAGGCCCUCUGGGUUGUAAACUUCUUUUAUCUGGGACGAAAAAAGGGUAUUCUUACUCACUUGACGGUACCAGAGGAAUAAGCACCGGCUAACUCCGUGCCAGCAGCCGCGGUAAUACGGAGGGUGCAAGCGUUAUCCGGAUUUACUGGGUUUAAAGGGUGCGUAGGUGGGCUUGUAAGUCAGUGGUGAAAUCUCCGGGCUUAACCCGGAAACUGCCAUUGAUACUAUAGGUCUUGAAUUAUCUGGAGGUAAGCGGAAUAUGUCAUGUAGCGGUGAAAUGCUUAGAUAUGACAUAGAACACCAAUUGCGAAGGCAGCUUACUACGGAUAUAUUGACACUGAGGCACGAAAGCGUGGGGAUCAAACAGGAUUAGAUACCCUGGUAGUCCACGCCCUAAACGAUGGAUACUCGACAUCAGCGAUACACUGUUGGUGUCUGAGCGAAAAGCAUUAAGUAUCCCACCUGGGAAGUACGAUCGCAAGAUUGAAACUCAAAAGGAAAUUGACGG
rnacentral:rRNA from 1 species